ensembl:lncRNA
CUUGAGAAAAGAAGAUUCAGAGUGGAUCUGACUAAUGUUUAUAAGUCUCUUAAGUGUGGGAGUCAAAGAGACAUGGCCAACCUCUUUUCAGCAGUCUCUGGGGACAGAACAAGGAGAAACAGCCAUAAACUGGAGCACAGGAAAUUCUACACCAAUAAGCAAAAUAACUUCUUCACAGUGAGGAUGACAGAGCACGGGAACAGGCUGCCCUGGGAUGUUGUGGAUUUUCCUUUUCUGGAGAUAUUCAAGACCUGCCUGGACAGCUACCUGUGUAACCUGCUGUAGGGGGUCUGCUUUGCAGUCGUUGUCGCCACCGCCACCAUGGACACCGUUGUCAACAGAACAACAACGACUGACAACCCACCACUACUGAAGAUCAAUGACUGAACUGCGAACCAUGUUGGACCAUGUCCAAGACAGCUUCUCUUCACUCAAUGAGGAUGUGGCAAGCCAAAAGGUUGGACGUCAGCAUAUUAGGCAAUGGUGUAUCAGGAGCCUGGAUUACCUUGUUUGUACUUGGAAAGUAUUAAGUAAAAUUAUCUCAAUUUCUUGUUCUCUCAAGCUGCUUAUAGAUGACUGUAAAUGAAAGACAAAAAGUCUUGUUUUAGAGGUCAUUGAUGAAGAUGUUGAACAAGACCAGACCCAGUACUGAGCAACCCCUGGGGAUCACUGCUAGCUACAGAUCUUCAACUAGACAACACUGCUGAUCGACAGACCUUUGAGCUCUGCCAGUUAGCCAGUUCUCAGCCCAUCUCACUGUCCACUCAUCUAUUCUACACUAGCACUUAUAAAAAACACAAUAGAAAAACCUUAGCAUAUGAGAGUAAUAUAAAUUAGAAAUAAUCCUGAAUAUACUUCCAAAUUUUAGUAUUAGGAAACUGUCUUGGUUUCAACUGUGACAGAGUUUAUUUAAUUCAUAGUGUAAGGUAUGAAGCUAUGUUUUGACUCUGGGAGAAAAACAACACUGAUAGUAAUCAAAACACACCAAUGUUUUAGCUAUUGCUGAGCUUCUUGUAUUGUACUGCCAGUGAUGGGGGCUGAGGGGACACACGUUGUUGGGAGAGCACAGAACCAAGAGGCUGACCUAAACUGAAGGGAUAUUCCAUACCAUACAACAUUGUGUAAAAAAAGUUAAAGAACUUUUAGAGUGAGAAGCGGUGGAGGGGAGUAACCAUUUUGGGGGACUGUUUGGGCAUUGUUUGGAAGGUGGUGAGUGUGUUGUUAAUUACUUGUUUUGUAAAUAUAUAUUAUCAUUAAUAUUAUUAUUUUCCUUUUCUGUCUUAGUAAAUGGUGUUUUAAGUCAACCCAUGAGUUCUAAUCUGUUGUUUUUUUCCCAGUUCUCUCCACAGUCCCAGUGGGAGGAAGGAUUAAGCAAAUGACUGUGUGGCAUUUAGCUGACUGCUGGGUUAAACUACGUUAUUUUUGUUUGUUUGUUUUUGUUUGUUUGUUUUUUUUCCCCCUGCUAUAAAUGCUCCUUUUGCUUGUGUGUAGUUUGAGGAAUUUGAGUAGCAAGAGGUAAACUGAAAAAGAAUUCCUUGUCUCAGUGAGGAAUCACCUACUUAGUAAUAUAAAUCUAUGUGACACAGAAAGCAAUAUAUUCAUCCAAUUAAAUUCAGUGUGUUUUUAGUAUCAUGAUAUACGGAUUUUUGAAAUAUGUAUCUUUCAUUUUGGUUCUUAGAAAUGUGUUGUGUGAGCCAACACAGGUAUAAGUUAUAUAGGAAUGAAAUGAGAAGCAUUAUCCUAUGAUCUAUUGCAUUGUUGUAUAUGAAAUGAAAAUAGGCUAGGGAGCCUAUUAUGACUGUUGUGCUACUUGAAUCCAUGAUAAUGAGAGAACUUAGAAAAUCCUGUAUGUCAAAUAUUAGUCUCUCUCAAGUGACUUGUUUCCCUGUGAAAUUUAUUAACACUAUAUGUGACAAUAUUUUGUUAUAAAGUUACAAAUCACAGUUAAUAAUAGUUUGGAGGGAAUUUUUUUUUUUUUUUUUUUGUACUUUAGACUCAG